rnacentral:rRNA from 1 species
CGCGUAGGCGGAUUAGAAAGUUGGGGUGAGAUCCCGGGGCUCAACCCCGGAACUGCCUCCAAAACUACUAGUCUAGAGUUCGAGAGAGGUGAGUGGAAUUCCGAGUGUAGAGGUGAAAUUCGUAGAUAUUCGGAGGAACACCAGUGGCGAAGGCGGCUCACUGGCUCGAUACUGACGCUGAGGUGCGAAAGUGUGGGGAGCAAACA